rnacentral:lncRNA from 1 species
UGGUGGCGUUUCUUUCUCUCUCUCUCUCUCUCUCUCAGUUUCUUCGUUUCACGGUUUUUGGCAAGAGCGUGUAGGGGCUGGAUUCGACCAUCCCUCAAGGCCCGGAGAAUAGACGGCCCGACCCGCAUAAGACAUAACGAUAGUUCGGCUUGACGGCUCGGAGCAUCGACGUAUCGACUAGGCACAUACGGCUUAACGGCUUUCCAAAGCAGCGUGGACUUCUCAGCCCAACAAGUUAAAAGCCCACGAAGAUGACGCGAGCUAGGUUACAGAAGAGCACCAAGUCGACUAUAUAAGGAGAAAGGGGUGCGACGUAAAGAGGAUCUGAAAUCACUCACACACACUCGGCGGCUAGAUUAGGGUUUUACCUUUAUUCUCUCACCGUAUUGUACUUUUCCGGCAAGCUCUCCGAGCUCCGGUUUCCUUUCUGUCGCACAUUUCC